ensembl:lncRNA
CUGUUUCACCCAUGGCAAACUAAAGUGCGCUUGGACAGCUUCCACUUCAUGAGGCGCUUUAACUGCGGCCUCACAACAGAACACCACCCUCUGUAUGGUAUUUUCUGUGCCAAGCUUUCCUCCUGCAUUUUUGCAUGGGACCAGGAGGAUGUGCAACGCCUGAAGGAGGCCAAGAGAGAAGAGUGGAAGAGCAGCCACAGCGGGCAUACUCCCACUGAGGAGCAGCUCAUGGCCACCAUCAGUCCAGGCGAACUGAAGAGGCACUGCAGGAGGAGGACCCGUGGAGUGGAGGAGACGCGGGGCAUGAUCUCAGGGCUGCUGGAAUCAGUGUGGGAGCUGACGGACACCACAGGGCUGCGUCUGGUGAGCCAUGACAGCAUGCGCCAUGUCUGGGAAGUGCAGCAGAAGCACCUGGAGUGCCUCCAAGACCCUGCAGGUGUGGCACUGUACACGAAGGUGGGGACACUCCAGAAGGGCGGCAAAGAGCUGGACGUCCUAAGGUGUGGUAGGGGGUCCUCCUCCCUGGAGAGUUUUCACAAACACCAGUGCGCUUUUAUUCCAGAUGUACAUGCUGGAGGGAGUAUCGAGGUGGAACAUGGGCCGGGCCAAGGAGGCAGUAAAUGUGGAGGGGGUCCCUCGCAGGAGGAGGAUGAGCCGGAUGACACCAUCAGCAUGACUGACAUUCUGUGCCAGUCAGCUGUGAUAGGGGCUGGUGAUCCUCCAGGUGCUGUGGUGGGUGACGCUGAACCCGGACCCCUCGUCACACAGGUGCAUGUCUCUGAAGUCCCCUCGCAGGUGCUUGAGGCGGAGGAGGAGCCAGAUGACACCAUCAGCA